rnacentral:misc_RNA from 1 species
GAUGAAGAACGUAGCGAAAUGCGAUACGUAAUGUGAAUUGCAAAUUCAGUGAAUCAUCGAGUCUUUGAACGCACAUUGCGCCCCCUGGUAUUCCGGGGGGCAUGCCUGUCCGAGCGUCAUUGCUGCCCUCAAGCACGGCUUGUGUGUUGGGCCCCGUCCUCCGAUCCCGGGGGACGGGCCCGAAAGGCAGCGGCGGCACCGCGUCCGGUCCUCGAGCGUAUGGGGCUUUGUCACCCGCUCUGUAGGCCCGGCCGGCGCUUGCCGAUCAACCCAAAUUUUUAUCCAGGUUGACCUCGGAUCGGGUAGGGAUACCCGCUGAACUUAAGCAUAUCAAUAAGCGGAGGA